AUUACUGAUUUGGUCAAAG
rnacentral:piRNA from 1 species